CCCAGCUGAGAGUCACCAGCAGCUUUGCCUGUUCCGUGGGUGAGAUUCGGUGCCCACACCCAGUGGGGCCUUAGCUCACUGCACACUCUCCAGAGUGGACUGGGGAAACCAAGGUUCCUGGCACGU
ensembl:snoRNA